AGCAGCCGCGGUAAUUCCAGCUCCAAUAGCGUAUAUUAAAGUUGCUGCAGUUAAAAAGCUCGUAGUUGAAUUUCGGGAUCAAUAUGUUGGUCGUGCCUUGGUGCGUACUAGUUUAUUGAUUUCUCCCUUCUGACGAACUAUGAUGCCAUUAAUUUGGUGUCAUGGGGAAUCAGGACUGUUACUUUGAAAAAAUUAGAGUGUUUAAAGCAGGCUCACGCUUGAAUACAUUAGCAUGGAAUAAUAAAAUAGGACGUUUGAUUCUAUUUUGUUGGUUUCUAGGAUCGACGUAAUGAUUAAUAGGGAUAGUUGGGGGCAUUAGUAUUCAAUUGUCAGAGGUGAAAUUCUUGGAUUUAUUGAAGACUAACUACUGCGAAAGCAUUUGCCAAGGAUGUUUUCAUUAAUCAAGAACGAAAGUUAGGGGAUCGAAGACGAUCAGAUACCGUCGUAGUCUUAACCAUAAACUAUGCCGACUAGGGAUCGGAUGAUGUAAUUUUUAAUGA
rnacentral:rRNA from 1 species